CCUACGGGCGGCAGCAGUGAGGAAUAUUGGUCAAUGGACGAGAGUCUGAACCAGCCAAGUAGCGUGAAGGAUGACUGCCCUAUGGGUUGUAAACUUCUUUUAUAUGGGAAUAAAACGUUCCACGUGUGGGAUUUUGUAUGUACCAUAUGAAUAAGGAUCGGCUAACUCCGUUCCAGCAGCCGCGGUAAUACGGAGGAUCCGAGCGUUAUCCGGAUUUAUUGGGUUUAAAGGGAGCGUAGGUGGAUUGUUAAGUCAGUUGUGAAAGUUUGCGGCUCAACCGUAAAAUUGCAGUUGAAACUGGCAGUCUUGAGUACAGUUGAGGUGGGCGGAAUUCGUGGUGUAGCGGUGAAAUGCUUAGAUAUCACGAAGAACUCCGAUUGCGAAGGCAGUUCACUGGACUGCAACUGACACUGAGGCUCGAAAGUGUGGGUAUCAAACAGGAUUAGAUACCCUUGUAGUC
rnacentral:rRNA from 1 species